UGGCCCGUAGUUCAGCGGUUAGAACCCUCCGCUCAUAACGGAGCUGUCCUCAGUUCGAAUCUGGGCGGGCCAACCA
rnacentral:tRNA from 1 species